rnacentral:rRNA from 1 species
UACGUAGGGAGCAAGCGUUGUCCGGAAUCAUUGGGCGUAAAGCGCGCGUAGGUGGCUCCAUAAGUCCGUUGUGAAAGUCAAAGGCUCAACCUUUGAAAGCCGAUGGAUACUGUGGAGCUAGAGUCCGGAAGAGGCGAGUGGAAUUCCUGGUGUAGCGGUGGAAUGCGCAGAUAUCAGGAGGAACACCAAUAGCGAAGGCAGCUCGCUGGGACGGUACUGACACUGCGGCGCGAAAGCGUGGGGAGCGAACAGG